rnacentral:tRNA from 1 species
GGCAUUGUGGCUCAGUGGUAGAGUGCUCACCUAGCACUGGUGGGACCUGAGUUCAAUUCUCAGCACCA